UACGUAGGGUGCGAGCGUUAAUCGGAAUUACUGGGCGUAAAGCGUGCGCAGGCGGUCUGUUAAGACCGAUGUGAAAUCCCCGGGCUUAACCUGGGAACUGCAUUGGUGACUGGCAGGCUUUGAGUGUGGCAGAGGGAGGUGGAAUUCCACGUGUAGCAGUGAAAUGCGUAGAGAUGUGGAGGAAUACCGAUGGCGAAGGCAGCCUCCUGGGCCAACACUGACGCUCAUGCACGAAAGCGUGGGGAGCAAACAGG
rnacentral:rRNA from 1 species